rnacentral:rRNA from 1 species
GAUGAACGCUGGCGGCGUGCCUAAUACAUGCAAGUCGAGCGGACGGACGAGAAGCUUGCUUCUCUGAUGUUAGCGGCGGACGGGUGAGUAACACGUGGAUAACCUACCUAUAAGACUGGGAUAACUUCGGGAAACCGGAGCUAAUACCGGAUAAUAUUUUGAACCGCAUGGUUCAAAAGUGAAAGACGGUCUUGCUGUCACUUAUAGAUGGAUCCGCGCUGCAUUAGCUAGUUGGUAAGGUAACGGCUUACCAAGGCAACGAUGCAUAGCCGACCUGAGAGGGGGGGCCGCCACCCCGGAAACGGAGCACCGGCCCAGCACCCUCGGGGGGCAGCCAGGAGGGAAUCUCCGGAAAGGGGGGAAAGCCGGCGGGAGCAAGCCGGGGUGAGGAAUAAGGGUCUUCGUAUCGUAAAACUUUUUUAUGAGGGAAAAACAUAUGUGUAAGUAACUGUGCACAUCUUGACGGUACCUAAUAAGAAAGCCACGCCUAACUACGUG